GCACCACUAUCCAACAGAAAAAAAAACAUUCUUAAGGUUUUUAAUUACAUUCUUUUAUGUCUGGGUUUAAUGCAUGGCUUUAGGUUUUAUCUGUCUGUCUCCUGUUCCCCCUUUCCUAUUCCCCCUUUAUUUUUCAAGCCAGGGUUUCCUUGUGUAGCUCUGGCUGUAUUGAUGAGGCUGGCUUGAAAUCAGAGAUCCCCCUGUGCUGGCUCCCAAGUCCUGGAUUAAAGGUGUGCUUUAAUUCACCAUCACUUGUCCUCAUUGUUGUCUUUACCACUGGUUUUUGUUUUAUUUUCUGAGAUAGGCUAGGUGCUUGCUUUGUAUUUUCUGAAUCCUUACUGUAGGUGCUGUGCCUCAUUUUAUUUAUUAAGGAAAUACCAUGUAGUGCUCCAGUCUUUUUACUGGUUGGUUUUGUUUUCUUCUUUUUAGGGUAGUACUGGGGAU
rnacentral:lncRNA from 1 species